rnacentral:rRNA from 1 species
CAGUCGCCACGGGAAUACGUAGGUGGCAAGCGUUGUCCGGAAUUAUUGGGCGUAAAGGGCUCGCAGGCGGUUUCUUAAGUCUGAUGUGAAAGCCCCCGGCUCAACCGGGGAGGGUCAUUGGAAACUGGGAAACUUGAGUGCAGAAGAGGAGAGUGGAAUUCCACGUGUAGCGGUGAAAUGCGUAGAGAUGUGGAGGAACACCAGUGGCGAAGGCGACCCUCUGGUCUGUAACCGACGCUGAGGAGCGAAAGCGUGGGGAGCGAACAGGAUUAGAUACCCGCGUAGUCCCUGUCUCUUAUAC